rnacentral:rRNA from 1 species
CAUUUAGAGGAAGGAGAAGUCGUAACAAGGUUUCCGUAGGUGAACCUGCGGAAGGAUCAUUGUCGAAACCUGCUCAGCAGAACGACCCGCGAACCUGUGAAAACAUACUGGGAGCAAGGGGCCUUAGGUCUCGGACUCUCUUGGUCGGGGGGGCUGCAUCCCGUGCUUCGCUUGCCGAUGCAUUGGUGUUGCUUUCCAGGCCGCACAAACGAACCCCGGCGCCAAAUCGCGCCAAGGAAAAUCUAACGAAUUGGCACUGUCCCCUCCGCCCCAGAGAUGGUGUGCGGUUGGGAUGUGCGUCGUAUUCUAUAUGUCAAAACGACUCUCGGCAACGGAUAUCUCGGCUCUCGCAUCGAUGAAGAACGUAGCGAAAUGCGAUACUUGGUGUGAAUUGCAGAAUCCCGUGAACCAUCGAGUCUUUGAACGCAAGUUGCGCCCGAAGCCGUUAGGCCGAGGGCACGUCUGCCUGGGCGUCACACAACGUUGCCCCCCCAACCUCGAAGGUGAGGGGAGCGGAUGCUGGCCUCCCGUGUGCUGCGGCAUGCGGCUGGUUUGAAUACGAGUCCUCGGCGACGAGUGCCGCAACAAUCGGUGGUUUUCCAACCUUCGUGGCCCUGUUGCAUGCAUAGACCGUCGCUGUGGCUCGAUAGACCCCACUGCGUUGCUAAUGCAGCGUAUCCAACGCGACCCCAGGUCAGGCGGGGCUACCCGCUGAGUUUAAGCAUAUCA